rnacentral:lncRNA from 1 species
GAGAGUUCAGUAGAGAAAAAAAACUGGCUGGUUUUUAGACCCAAAAACCAGUCUUUUGGAGAGCAUUUUUUAGAGAGUUUAAGCAGUCAGUUAAUUCAACAUAAUGCUAAUUCAUGGUAAACUAAAGAGAAUUUCAGCUUUAACGAUCAAGUUAUAUUUUUGAGUUCAUCUUUUUGUUGCCGGUACUGCAUUUCGAUUGCUAUUUGGUUUUACAACUGAUUCUAUGCUGUUGGUUGAGAGUGUAUUCGGGUGGAAAUUGGUUUUGUUGUUGGUUUAAGC